CAGCCCUCUAGCUCCUCCAUUUUUUUAAUGUUUAUAUCUAAAAUGCCAUUAUUUUCUAUUCUAAGUAUGAUUAUGUUCAAGUAAUUUUAAUCUUUAUAAUCCGUCUUCCCCAAGAUCAUAGUACAUUUGUCAUGAAAAUAGAUUCUCAUUUUUCAGUAUUCUUUGCUAUUUUAUGAUAUUUAUUCCCAGUCUAUAUAAGCCAAUCAAUGUUUUGAUCAUUUUAGACAUCACAAUUUUUUAUUAGCAUUGGCAAAUCUGUUCCUUAAUCCAUGAAUCUUUGUGGCAUCAUUUUUAUUAUGUCACUCUGCUUAAAAAAUAUAGUAUUCCCCACUAUUUUUUGAGACAGGGUCUCACGUAUCCCAGGCCGUCUUGAGACUCACUCUGUAGCUGAGGAUAACCUUGAACUUCUGAUCUUUCUGCCUCUAGCUCGCUGGUGCUGGGAUUGCAGAUUUGUGCCACCAUGCCCAGUUUAUAUUAUUCUGGGGAUCAAACCCAAACCCAAGGCCUUGUGCAUGCCAGGCAGUCACUCUACCAACUGAACCAUAUGUCAGCCUAAACAUGUAGCCAUGCGUCAUCCCUGCUGGUGCUGCUCCCAGGUUCUCAUUCUGAAGGAAGAGAUCAAAAUCUACAUGUCUUUGAAAGUCAUAAAGGGAUGAACACAAACAAAAGCCACCCAAACCUCCCAGCUUUGGAAAUAUCGAUGAAUAUGGAACUAAACAAGGUCUUGUAAACACAAGCCAGAGCUCAUCUGAAUAGACAAGCUUUGCUCUGUGUGUAUAGGAAUUCCAAGGUGGAGCCGCGGCAGGAAGUGAGCUGUUCCUCUGCUUGGGAAAGGCAAAGCAGAGGAGGAGCAAGAGGAACGGAAGAGGAGGCUCACUCGAGAUGGCCCUUCACUGAUGCUUUUAGCUCUUGCACCGAGAAGAAGCGAGGUGGUGUAAAUCAGCCUUCUUUCGCCAAUAAAAUUAUGACAGUUUGCCUCUUGCUGCACAUCCUGCUUUAUCCCGAUAAAGAAACAGGUAGCAGAGAGUGAAAGUGUUCCACGCCAUUCGUCAGGCCUUGGGCAGUUGAUCAACCCCACCAUAAAGGGUAGUCGGCAUCACCGAGCUGCGGCUGUUUAAGGAACGUGAAAUGUGGCUGGUGGCACUGAGGCAGCGGAUGGUAAAUCAGAUAUGAUUUCCCCUCCGAGAGCACAACAUCAACCUUGUCGUUAUCAGGAAGAGAAAUGAAAUCUCUAAAUAUUUCUCAACGUUUUGUCAUCUCUGUC